rnacentral:rRNA from 1 species
AACGAACGCUGGCGGCAUGCCUAACACAUGCAAGUCGAACGAGACCUUCGGGUCUAGUGGCGCACGGGUGCGUAACGCGUGGGAACCUGCCUUUAGGUUCGGAAUAACUCAGAGAAAUUUGAGCUAAUACCGGAUGAUGUCUUCGGACCAAAGAUUUAUCGCCUUUAGAUGGGCCCGCGUUGGAUUAGCUAGUUGGUGGGGUAAAGGCCUACCAAGGCGACGAUCCAUAGCUGGUCUGAGAGGAUGAUCAGCCACACUGGGACUGAGACACGGCCCAGACUCCUACGGGAGGCAGCAGUGGGGAAUAAUGGACAAUGGGCGAAAGCCUGAUCCAGCAAUGCCGCGUGAGUGAUGAAGGCCUUAGGGUUGUAAAGCUCUUUUACCCGAGACGAUAAUGACAGUAUCGGGAGAAUAAGCUCCGGCUAACUCCGUG